rnacentral:rRNA from 1 species
CCUACGGGGGGCAGCAGUGGGGAAUAUUGGGCAAUGGGCGCAAGCCUGACCCAGCAACGCCGCGUGAAGGAAGAAGGCUUUCGGGUUGUAAACUUCUUUUAAGAGGGAAGAGCAGAAGACGGUACCUCUUGAAUAAUCCACGGCUAACUACGUGCCAGCAGCCGCGGUAAUACGUAGGUGGCAAGCGUUGUCCGGAUUUCCUGGGUGUAAAGGGCGUGCAGCCGGGAAGAAAAGUCAGAUGUGAAAGCCCGCGGCUCAACCGCGGAACUGCAUUUGAAACUGUUUUUCUUGAGUACAGGAGAGGUAAUCGGAAUUCCUUGUGUAGCGGUGAAAUGCGUAGAUAUAAGGAAGAACACCAGUGGCGAAGGCGGAUGACUGGACGGCAACUGACGGUGAGGCGCGAAAGCGUGGGGAGCAAACAGGAUUAGAUACCCCAGUAGUC